CCUACGGGGGGCAGCAGUGGGGAAUAUUGCGCAAUGGGCGAAAGCCUGACGCAGCGACGCCGCGUGAGGGAUGAAGGUCUUCGGAUCGUAAACCUCUGUCAGCAGGGAAGAACGGUCACUGUGCUAAUCAGCAGUGAAUUGACGGUACCUGCAAAGGAAGCACCGGCUAACUCCGUGCCAGCAGCCGCGGUAAUACGGAGGGUGCGGGCGUUAAUCGGAAUUACUGGGCGUAAAGCGCUCGUAGGCGGUAUGUCAAGUCAAGGGGGAAAUCCCCGCGCUCAACGUGGGAAGUGCCUUUGAAACUGGCAAACUGGAGUGUGUGAGAGGAUAGUGGAAUUCCAGGUGUAGGAGUGAAAUCCGUAGAUAUCUGGAGGAACAUCAGUGGCGAAGGCGACUAUCUGGCACAUAACUGACGCUGAGGAGCGAAAGCGUGGGUAGCAAACAGGAUUAGAUACCCCAGUAGUC
rnacentral:rRNA from 1 species